UACGGAGGGUGCGAGCGUUGUCCGGAAUUACUGGGCGUAAAGCGCGCGUAGGCGGCUUUGCAAGUCGGGUGUGAAAUCCCCAGGCUUAACCUGGGAACUGCAUUCGAGACUGCAUUGCUAGAGUAUGGGAGAGGGAAGUGGAAUUUCCGGUGUAGCGGUGAAAUGCGUAGAUAUCGGAAGGAACAUCAGUGGCGAAAGCGACUUCCUGGACCAAUACUGACGCUCAUGUGCGAAAGCGUGGGGAGCAAACAGG
rnacentral:rRNA from 1 species